AUUGAACGCUGGCGGCAGGCCUAACACAUGCAAGUCGCACGAGUGGCGGACGGGUGAGUAAUGUCUGGGAAACUGCCUGAUGGAGGGGGAUAACUACUGGAAACGGUAGCUAAUACCGCAUACCAUCAGAUGUGCCCAGAUGGGAUUAGCUUGUGGGUGGGGUAACGGCUCACCUAGUCGACGAUCCCUAGCUGGUCUGAGAGGAUGACCAGCAACACUGGAACUGAGAGACGGUCCAGACUCGUAGGGGAGGCAGCAGUGGGGAAUAUGGCACAAUGGGCGCAAGCCUGAUGAAGCCAUGCAGAGUGUAUGAAGAAGGCCUUCGGGUUGUAAAGUACUUUAAGCGGGGAGGCGUUACUCGCAGAAGAAGCACCGGCUAACGCCGUGCGAGCAGCCGCGGUAAUUC
rnacentral:rRNA from 1 species